rnacentral:lncRNA from 1 species
CCCAUUUACAGAACUACGGACGGUGUGCCCUGCAAACAACACGGCCGGCCCUGCACGUGGGUGCGGUAGCACACUUGCGCGCGUGUGGUAUGGUGAGCGGACGGUGGUCGCUUUAAUCCGUUUAUUUCCUCGACUUUGUGUAUCAUCAAGACAACACAGAUUUGGAGAUGGUCCGGCGAAACAUGGCAAUGUAAACACACAGUCUAUUCAUCAGUGUGAAGUCGCCAACUUGGUCUGGAAAUGUGGACUCAACUCGCUCCGAGUCAACUCCGUCUCAGGUCAACUUGGUCCCAACUGGAAGGCAGGCACAUGGCUGCAGCAUGAAUAAAAAUCUUCCAACAAAGAGGUUUGGCAGUGAUGCAUGAGGAACGUCAAGGAAAUGUCGAAGAGUGGCACGUUAGAGACUCAACUUCAUUAGUGCCAGGCAAGUGGACUGUACCUCCGUAUAUGUGGCCCUACUCCUAAACUAGAAACAAGUUGAGGAAGGAUUAAACAUUGGGAUAAAGCUCCCCGGCUGUGAACGGUAUCAGCCACAUACAGGUCUGCCUUGUAAUCGAAUGCACCCUAUAUGCCUGCAUUGCAUUGGCACACUUUGAUGCUGGACCCCACACCUGCAUACACACCUGGCAGCUGGCAAUCAGAUCAAGCCCCUUAUUGUCAUAAUAUCUGCUCUUGGAACAUUGAUGGAGGUCCAAGCAAGACGGUCAGAUUGCGGAAUCAAAGAGGGCCAGCAGUAUACAACCUUUAGAAGAGAAGUUUAAAGGGUUACAGAAAUAGACGACAUUUAGUUCGCGUGAAGCAUUUCAAAAUAAUAAUAAAUACAUAACCAUCUCAAAAAGAUCAUAAACUUAAUGUUUAUAUUUACCGCAUUAAUUGUGACAACAAAAUGAAUUUAAAAAUCCUGCAUUUCCCCGCCCAUCCCUUUUGGCUGUUUGCUCUCCCAGGCUGACUGGAUGACGUCAUCGCCAGAACGAUGCAUGUACAUGUACAGUGUACAUGUACAUAGCGCACAUUACAUGCAGUAUCGCAUGCAUUAGACCACGUAUUGUUUGAUUUAGCUUGAUGUAGCUUUGAUGAAAAAAAUUCAGGCUUGGGAUGGCCAAGAUCUCGGCUGUGAGAUGGUACAAAAUAUUCCAGUAACUUCAGGGUUAACAUUGGU